rnacentral:rRNA from 1 species
GAUGAACGCUGGCGGCGUGCCUAAUACAUGCAAGUCGAGCGAACUGAUUAGAAGCUUGCUUCUAUGACGUUAGCGGCGGACGGGUGAGUAACACGUGGGCAACCUGCCUGUAAGACUGGGAUAACUUCGGGAAACCGACGCUAAUACCGGAUAGGAUCUUCUCCUUCAUGGGCGGCGAUUGAAAGAUGGGUUCGGCUAUCACUUACCUAUGGGCCCGCGGUGCAUUAACUAGUUGGUGAGGUAACGGCUCACCAAGGCAACGAUGCAUAGCCGACCUGAGAGGGUGAUCGGCCACACGGGGACUGAGACACGGCCCAGACUCCUACGGGAGGCAGCAGUAGGGAAUCUUCCGCAAUGGACGAAAGUCUGACGGAGCAACGCCGCGUGAGUGAUGAAGGCUUUCGGGUCGUAAAACUCUGUUGUUAGGGAAGAACAAGUACGAGAGUAACUGCUCGUACCUUGACGGUACCUAACCAGAAAGCCACGGCUAACUACGUGCCAGCAGCCGCCGCGGUAA